rnacentral:tRNA from 1 species
UCCCUCAUAGCUCAGUUGCUAAAGAAUCUGCCUGCAGUGCAGAAGACCCAGGUUCGAUUCCUGAGUCGGGAA